rnacentral:rRNA from 1 species
UACGUAGGGCGCAAGCGUUGUCCGGAAUUAUUGGGCGUAAAGAGCUCGUAGGCGGCUUGUCACGUCGAUUGUGAAAGCCCGAGGCUUAACCUCGGGUCUGCAGUCGAUACGGGCUAGCUAGAGUGUGGUAGGGGAGAUCGGAAUUCCUGGUGUAGCGGUGGAAUGCGCAGAUAUCAGGAAGAACACCCGUGGCUAAGGCGGCUCUCUAGUACGGUACUGACGCUGAGACGCGAAAGCGUGGGGAGCGAACAGG